UGGAAAACGAAAGCGCCAGGACUAAUCCGUGACCGGAAAUAUGGGUUAGUUGACGAGGUGGAGGUUUAUCGAAGUUUCGGCGGAUGCCUCCCGGCUGAAAGCGCAGCCGCAAAUUCCAUCUUCAAAACAUUAGGGCAACUUAAUGCACAAACAGAUGGGGAUGCUAAAAA
rnacentral:ncRNA from 2 species